rnacentral:rRNA from 1 species
ACGGAAACGAUACUAGCUUGCUAGUAGGCGUCGAGUGGCGGACGGGUGAGUAACGCGUAGGAAUCUACCUGAUAGUGGGGGAUAGCCCGAAGAAAUUCGGAUUAAUACCGCAUAAUCUAUUCGUAGUAAAGUGGGGGACUUUCGAGCCUCACGCUAUCAGAUGAGCCUGCGUAAGACUAGCUAGUUGGUAGGGUAAAAGCCUACCAAGGCGACGAUCUUUAGCUGGUCUGAGAGGAUGAUCAGCCACAUCGGGACUGAGACACGGCCCGAACUCCUACGGGAGGCAGCAGUGGGGAAUAUUGGACAAUGGGGGCAACCCUGAUCCAGCAAUACCGCGUGUGUGAAGAAGGCCUGAGGGUUGUAAAGCACUUUCAAUUGUGAAGAAAAGCUAGUGGUCAAUAGCCAUUAGCCUUGACAUUAACUUUAGAAGAAGCACCGGCUAACUCCGUGCCAGCAGCCGCGGUAAUACGGAGGGUGCAAGCGUUAAUCGGAAUUACUGGGCGUAAAGCGUGCGUAGGCGGUUUAUUAAGUCAGAUGUGAAAGCCCCGGGCUUAACCUGGGAACUGCAUUUGAAACUGGUCAACUAGAGUAUGGUAGAGGAAAGUGGAAUUUCUGGUGUAGCGGUGAAAUGCGUAGAUAUCAGAAGGAACAUCAAUGGCGAAGGCAACUUUCUGGACCAAUACUGACGCUGAGGUACGAAAGCGUGGGUAGCAAACAGGAUUAGAUACCCUGGUAGUCCACGCCGUAAACGAUGAUAACUAGCCGUUGGGGGGAUUUACCCCUUAGUGGCGAAGCUAACGCGUUAAGUUAUCCGC